rnacentral:rRNA from 1 species
GAUGAACGCUGGCGGCGUGCCUAAUACAUGCCAGUCGAGCGAACAGACGAGGAGCUUGCUCCUCUGACGUUAGCGGCGGACGGGUGAGUAACACGUGGAUAACCUACCUAUAAGACUGGGAUAACUUCGGGAAACCGGAUCUAAUACCGGAUAAUAUAUUGAACCGCAUGGUUCAAUAGUGAAAGACGGUUUUGCUGUCACUUAUAGAUGGAUCCGCGCCGCAUUAGCUAGUUGGUAAGGUAACGGCUUACCAAGGCAACGAUGCGUAGCCGACCUGAGAGGGUGAUCGGCCACACUGGAACUGAGACACGGUCCAGACUCCUACGGGAGGCAGCAGUAGGGAAUCUUCCGCAAUGGGCGAAAGCCUGACGGAGCCACGCCGCGUGAGUGAUGAAGGUCUUCGGAUCGUAAAACUCUGUUAUUAGGGAAGAACAAAUGUGUAAGUAACUAUGCACGUCUUGACGGUACCUUAUCAGAAAGCCACGGCUAACUACGUG